rnacentral:rRNA from 1 species
UUUAGAGGAAGUAAAAGUCGUAACAAGGUUUCCGUAGGUGAACCUGCGGAAGGAUCAUUAGUGAUUGCCAUCUUGGCUUAAACUAUAUCCAUCUACACCUGUGAACCGUUUGAUUGAAUCUUCUGAUUCAAUUUUACAAACAUUGUGUAAUGAACGUCAUUAGAUCAUAACAAAAAAAAACUUUUAACAACGGAUCUCUUGGCUCUCGCAUCGAUGAAGAACGCAGCGAAAUGCGAUAAGUAAUGUGAAUUGCAGAAUUCAGUGAAUCAUCGAAUCUUUGAACGCAACUUGCGCUCUCUGGUAUUCCGGAGAGCAUGCCUGUUUGAGUGUCAUGAAAUCUCAACCAUUAGGGUUUCUUAAUGGCUUGGAUUUGGAGGUUGCCAUUCUAAAUGGCUCCUCUUAAAGGAGUUAGCAAGUUUUACUAUUGCUAUCUGGCGUAAUAAGUUUCGCUGGAAUGGUAUUGUGAAGCGUGCUUCUAAUCGUCUUCGGACAAUUACUUUGACUCUGGCCUCAAAUCAGGUAGGACUACCCGCUGAACUUAAGCAUAUCAAUAG